rnacentral:lncRNA from 1 species
AGCACAGGCUCAUAUGACAGUCACUGGAGGACACAAUAGUAAAAAUGGAGUGGAGCCAGGAGGGCUAACAAAGCAUUAAAGGAGCCUACAACAUCUCUCCCUGCCCCUCCACCCCUUCCCCACUUGGCUGCUGGAAAAUAUUUCUUCAGAUUUGCUGUGUACCUUUGCUGCAAAACCUGACUGCACGUCUGUGGGUUCGUAGAUUAUCUGCACCGUGACAGCCAGACUGUGAAACCUUUGCUUGUGACUGCAGGUCUGGCAGUCUGCUGGCUUCAGUGGGGCUGCUGCCGCGGGAUGCUGUUUUUCAGCAGUUUCAAGAGACUGAUUCUCACUGGCACAAUUC